rnacentral:tRNA from 2 species
AUUUAAAUAAUUUAAGUAAAAAUAUUGAUUUGUGGAAUCAAAUUUAUGAUAGGUUCAUUUUAAAUC